GACGAACGCUGGCGGCGUGCUUAACACAUGCAAGUCGAACGGAAAGGCCCUGCUUUUGUGGGGUGCUCGAGGGGCGAUGGCGUAAGGGACACGUGAGUAACCUGCCCUACACUUUGGGAUAACUUCAGGUAACUGGGGCUAAUACCGGAUCGGAGCUCCUGCUGCAUGGUGGGGGUCGGAAAGUCUCGGCGGGAGGGGUUGGACUCGCGGAUUAUUAGUUUGUUAGUGGGGUAGUGGCUUACCAAGGCUUUGACGGGUAGCCGGCCCGAGAGGGAGAACGGCGACAAUACGACUGAGAGACGGCGCAGACUCGUACGGGGGGCAGUGGUGGGGAAUAUUGCACAGUGGGCGCAAGUCUGAUAAGGAAACGCUGGGUGCGGAAAGCCCGCCUGCGGGGUGAGAACAGCUUUCGGCUGUGACGAAGCGUGAGUGACGGUAAUGGAUGAAGAAGCACCGGCUAACUACGUG
rnacentral:rRNA from 1 species